rnacentral:rRNA from 1 species
GACGAACGCUGGCGGCGUGCCUAAUACAUGCAAGUUGAGCGCUGAAGGAUGGUACUUGUACCAACUGGAUGAGCAGCGAACGGGUGAGUAACGCGUGGGGAAUCUGCCUUUGAGCGGGGGACAACAUUUGGAAACGAAUGCUAAUACCGCAUAAAAACUUUAAACACAAGUUUUAAGUUUGAAAGAUGCAAUUGCCUCACUCAAAGAUGAUCCCGCGUUGUAUUAGCUAGUUGGUGAGGUAAAGGCCCACCAAGGCGAUGAUACAUAGCCGACCUGAGAGGGUGAUCGGGCACAUUGGGACUGAGACACGGCCCAAGCUCCUACGGGGGGCAGCAGUAGGGAAUCUUCGGACAUGGACGAAAGUCUUACCGCGCAACGCCGCGUGAGUGAAGAAGGUUUUCCGAUCGUAAAACUCUGUUGGUAGAGAAGAACGUUGGUGAGGGUGGAAAGCUCAUCAAGUGACGGUAACUACACAGAAAGGGACGGCUAACUACGUG